GAGUGUGUAUAGAGUGUGUAUAGAGUGUGUAUAGAGUGUGUCGAGUGUGUGUCGAGUGUGUAUAGAGUGUGUGUCGAGUGCGUGUCGAGUGUGUAGAUGUUAAUGAAAUAUGUUUCUGUAACACUGUUGAAGUGUGUUAUUGAUAGAAGCCAUUAGCAAUAACAACACACACAUAUUUACUUCUGCUGCUUUUGUCUUUCUCAGGUGUUUAUUCACACUUCACACUCGGGCCCUUGGGGGCCUGACUCGGGUUCCGGACGACUAACGAACUUUACCUGAAACAGGUUAAAAAUGUGACGGAGUUUCCCUCGAGGGCAAAAACACAAAGACGUUUAAACUGAGCUGCAACACAACACCAAGUGUGUCUCAUUUAUUGGCUCACGUUCCACACGUCUCAUCUAUCACACAGUGAACAGUGACGGAGUGGAACAGCAGGGUGGAUGUGACACAACACCACCUUUUAUUUACUCAGUGUCAUCUUUCUGUUACGUGUCUAACAUCAAAAACCGUUCAAAUCCAAACAAGUGCUCAGAUCAGGACGAGCAGAAAUAACAGAGCGCUUACUGAACAUUUACGUUCCUCACUUCACUCACACACCAGUAUUUUGUUGCGUUAGAAUACGCCUGAAGGUGUCGGGUUUAGAACACCACCCUCCUCCUGAUGUAAACCGUCCUGAAGUCCUAAUAAAGUGGCCAGCGAGUGUAUAAUCAUUACAUUUAAAAAAGAGAGAAAAAUAAAACUGUGUGUUGUUCUCAGAGACGUGUCUUUGGUUGCGUUAUUUAUUUGAAUAUAUUUUGAUGAUGUUUGCAGGAACUCACAACCUUCUGGAGACAGAAGACGUGGAGGAGCUUCACUCAGGAGUGUUACUGUAGCCGCUGUAGCUGCUGUGUUCAUGUCUGAACAUGUCCAGGACACGUGUUAGUGGUCACACGACUGGCGUGUGAGAGAUAUUUACAGCAUGGUGCAGUAAUGUGUCAUACACCUACGAGACGCGGCCAGAUCCCUGACAAGGGCGAGGCUGAGCAAACACCAGCUCUGACUCUGUGACGCCUUCAUUGCUCCUAAAAGCCAAAGAAUGGUGUGAAACACAGAACACUACGAGUGAACGACAGAGCAGUGGGUGGAAACAUCUUAUCGAUGGACCUCUGAAGAACAGAAAACCAAAAAAACCAUCUGAUCUUCUUCCAGUCUUCAGCUCUUCCAGUCAUGUGUGUGUAAAUAAUGAGACUUACUUGACUAAAGGACAUGAAAGGAAAAAAAAAGCCAGUCAUCAUGAUGUCAUGAUUCUAAAUCAAAAGUCACCAGGAAGCUAUGAAUAGAAGAAGAAAAGCUUUCAGGAAUAGAAGAAAACACACACUGAGCUACAAACACACACGGUUAUUGUUUUAUCGUUUACAGAAAGUCUUAUAACAUCUGAAAGAAGUGACAUAAAGAAGUUACAACAGUUAGAGUUUAUAUAAACAUGAUUGUGUUUAUGAGACGUAAUAAAGGCUUACAGAAGGUUUUAUAUCAAAUUUUGUGAACACUCAUGUU